rnacentral:rRNA from 1 species
GGGGGGGGGGGCAAGCGUUGUUCGGAAUUACUGGGCGUAAAGGGCGCGCAGGCGGGGGGCGGGAAAGUCUCUCGUGAAAUCCCACGGGCUCAACCGUGGAACUGCGGGAGAUACUACUCGUCUUGAGUCCGGGAGAGGAGUGUGGAAUUCCCAGUGUAGCGGUGAAAUGCGUAGAUAUUGGGAGGAACACCGGUGGCGAAGGCGGCACUCUGGACCGGUACUGACGCUGAGGCGCGAAAGCUAGGGGAGCAAACGGGAUUAGAUACCCCGGUAGUCCUAGCUGUAAACGCUGAGCACUUGGUGUAGCGGGUAUCGACCCCCGCUGUGCCGAAGCUAACGCAUUAAGUGCUCCGCCUGGGGAGUACGGUCGCAAAGGCUG